rnacentral:rRNA from 1 species
UACGAACCGUACAAACGUUAUUCGGAAUCACUGGGCGUAAAGGGUUUGUAGGUGGCCACUUAAGUCAGACGUGAAAUCCCUCAGCUUAACUGGGGAACUGCGUCUGAUACUGCGUGGCUUGAGUGCAGGAGAGGAACGCGGAAUUCCAGGUGUAGCGGUGAAAUGCGUAGAUAUCUGGAGGAACACCGGUGGCGAAGGCGGCGUUCUGGACUGUAACUGACACUGAAAAACGAAAGCCAGGGGAGCAAACGGG